rnacentral:lncRNA from 1 species
AUUUUGUUUUGACCUAUGUACCGGGCCCGGUCAGAACUAAGUUGAUGUGUUCAAUUAAGUUCUUUGUCAAACAAAUCGGAAAUCGGGAAACAAACUGCUGGACAAUAAGUAAGACAUUGUUCCAUGUAUUUGUCCGGCUGAUAUCUAGAACAGAGGAUUAUAUGAUCACUUAUCUUAAAUGGCGUAUCAACAUCUUAUUAGUUUCGAGAGACCUUGAAAGAGUUGCGAUUUCUGGUCGGUUCCUGAAGUACUAGAGUUAUAGUUAUUAGACUUAUCCAAGUGGGAGACUGUUGGAUAAGGUGUCUAAGUCCAUAACUAUUUCGGGCUUGUACUUGACCCGACCCGGCAUGGUCCAUUUGGGUUGCAUGGCACCAUGCAAUUGGAUAGACUAAAUGAGAGAAAUAACACUUGGAGAUUAUUAAUAUAUUAUAAGUUCUAAUAUAUUAAUAAUAUUAUUUGAUUAGUUGAUCAAAGAAUUNGAAUUAAUUAAGUGAUCAAAAGAUAACUAAUUAAAUUUAUGGGUUGAUUAUGUAAAUCAUUCAUAUCUUGUAUAGUGGGCUAAGAGGCUCCAUGGAUUAUCAAGUUGGGUUCCACCCAUAGAAUGCUCCAUGGAUGCUCCAUGGGAGUUACAAACCCAUGGGUCAUGGACAUGAAGAGUCAUGACACAUUAGUGUUUACAUGGUGUAACCCUAGAUGUGUCAACACUAUAUAAGAAUCCCAUUCUCCACCAAAAUCGGCUACACAUAUGAAACAAGAGGGCUAGGCCGAUUUCAAGAAGUGUGUAUUCUCUCAAAAGUCUUUCCAAGAGCAUUUGGUGUUGUGUGAAGCAUUUGAGGCAUCACACUUGGGGUGCUAGGCUCACAAGUUUUCAAGGAACAUAAGCAACAACAAGGUAAGGUAUUUUAUCUUUCAUUCAAGUUAAAAUUAUUCCCCAUGUAUGCUAGAUAGGAAUAUAACCAUGGAAUUCAACUUUUGAUGAUAAUUAGACAAACAUAGAUCCAAGGUUAUUAGGGUUGCAUGUACACUUAGGAAGUGUUAGAAUGCUCAAAACCCAUCAGUUCAAACUUGACUUUAUGGAUCAUGUAUUAGGGGUUCUAGUUGGCUAUCACUCCAGUGCCAUGGAGCAAGACACGAGACAUUUCCUUUUGUGUGUUCUCUCUGAUUUGCCAAGGACUACAGUACGAGUGUAGGUCGUGGAUAUGGAUCAUUUGAGGUAGGGGCAUCAACUCUAUCAUGUAUCAUGUUGGUUCGAGACACGUCUUGAUAUUCUUAUGUUCUCCGACAUGCGACCCUGCAUGGUGUGGGUGUAGGGUUGUGUAACGCCCGUAGAUCCGGGCUAGUUAAUUCAGAGACGAUAAGCAUCAAAAAUGACUUUUUGAUGGAAGAUUAUUUAGAAGGAUUAAUCUUAACUAAGUUGUAGUAUAUGUUACAAAUAUUCCAUACAUAUAAAGAACGCCGAAAUCUGAGUUAUAACGAAGAAGUUAUGACCUGUCCAAGUUUUGCAAUAGAACUGGCACGACACAACACGACGUAAAUAGUGAAUUUAUGUUAGAGCAAUAUUUGGCCUUAGCAAUCUAAAUCAAAGUCAUAGAAUAUGUUAAACCGAGAGCGUGCAUAAAAAAAACAUCCAAGUCUGACUUCGUAUGAGGAAGUGCUGAUUUUUCUAAGUUUCAGCUUAGCAGUAUGCAGCCCGAAGUUCGAAUAUGAGAUCGAGUGAUUUCUAGCCGAAACGAUCUAACGAAAAUCGAAGAUCUCAUCUAUAGUAUCCCAACGGUGGAAAGACAGACAAAAACAGAUGUCCUAUGAAGAAGAUAUGGUUUUCUAACGGAGUUUUCCUGUCCCGGUCUACUAAAAUAAUAUAAUAAAAGUAAAAUUCAAAAUUAGCAGACGAAGUCUAAACGAGAGUCCUAGAGCAUAAUCUCACCUACGCGUGCAUAUAAAAAACGUUGAAAACAGAGCUCGUAUGCGAGAGAUAUGAAUUUAUGAAGUUCGGAACGCAAACUUCGAGGCUGUGUUAGUGCUCACGAGGUGAGCUCAGUGCUCAUGACGUGAGCACAGACUGGACAACCUCCAGAACAAGUGGACGAAUGACGAAUGCAGUGACCUACUGAGCUCACGACGUGAGUACAGAAAAUGGCCCUAUAAAUAGAAGUUGAAGGCUAACCGAGUUUUGUUGCUCAAUUCCUUUCCUCUCUCCCGCAUUACAUCGUUUUACGAGCAAAGAAUUAACCUCGGAGCCCUGUUAUCAUCCCGAGACCCAAAGCGUGUCCGGAAGCUCCCGAGAAGAAAAGAGUUUCCGAGCCGAAGCUCUGCCCAUAAGAAACCCGGUGUGUGAAGAUAUUCAUGUUUCACAGGAGAAUACUACUCUUAGAGUCAUAGUGUCGUCCGAUCUUCUUCUGAUCAAGUGAGUGUAUAGUCCCUUUCAUAAACACGAUUUUAAUACAAGUAUUGUUUGAAUGUAUUACAUCUAUGUUAUGAGUGAGUGUGUAGUUACUUUCUUCUAACACGUAAAUAUGAAGUAUUUGCUAUGAAAUAUGUGCUGUGUGUUUAUAUAUCAUUUGUUUAUAUAAGAUGGGUGUGGAAUGGAUAUUAUAUAUAGUUUUUAAAUAAGUUAAACUGUAUAUGUAUUUUAUAUCUAAAAAUAUGUUGGGUAAAACAUGGGUAGAUGAACGUUGAGAGAUGAAAGAUGGUAUGAGUAAACAUCGAUAAUUAUGGACCUAGCACCUGUUAGAGAAGAACUUUGAUAGCUACGGAUUAAGGUAUAGUUAAUUGUCCCUAUUCCGGGAGUAUGGAUUCGAUCAGGAUUUAGCUAUAAUUAAUUGUCUCUAUUCCGGGAGUAUGGAUUGGGCAUAGUUAGUGAUCCAGGAGUAUGGAUCAGAUCAAGAGGUUAAUUUAGAUUCGGGAGUAUGGAUCAGAUAUACCAGAUCCGGGAGUAUGGAUUUGGUAGAGAGGUUAGUUUUAGACCCAUGAGUAUGGAUUUGGUAGAGAGGUUAGUUGUAGAUCCGUGAGUAUGGAUUAGGUAAAGAGGUAAAUUGUGAUACAAGAGUACGGAUUGUUUCGUUGUAAGGAUCAACAGGGUGGGAUAAGUGUUGCUUGUUUAUAGUGAAAUUGUACAUGUUUGUGAGUUCUAAUAUAUAUAUAUGAUAUAACAUUGUGGGUUGAAAACCCUAUAUGCUCACCAGGCUCCCAGCUCUGANAUAUAUAUAUAUAUAUAUACAUACAACAUUGUUGGUUGAAAACCCUAUAUGCUCACCAGGCUCCCAAGCGUGACCCACUCAGUUUUCUUUGUAUUAUAGGUAAUGGCACAAGAGUAUAAGCUGGUGGGCUUGACGAGAGAUUUUGGAUAAUAGACUAGUAGUUGUAAAUAACUGUUGUAAGGUCGAAUUGUAUUGCUUAUGCUUUUGGUCUGUAUCGGAACAUGACAUCCCGUUGUUUUAUUUUUUAAUGAAAAUACAUUCUCUUUGAGAAAUGUUUUGAUAAAUUUUAUCAUAUUUUGUUUUGGGAACAAAUUUUGCAGCUCUUUUAAUCAAAGGAUUACUCUGAUUUUAUAAAACAAAGCAUAAACAAAUCGGUCUUUUCUGGACGUGAAUUUGGGGAUGUCACAGUUUGUAUUAGAGCGUUAUUUUAAGCGAACUAGGAAUUUGUAGGAUUUCUAGACUUAAACUUAGAAUGUUAAGCAAUGAUGGUGAGAUGAGUGUCAACCAUAUUUUAGAUACGAGCGCUAGUAUAAUUUAGGAAAGAUGCUUAAAAUGCUUUUAUGUGCUAAAUGCUAUAUGUUUGUCAUAUAUUGAAUUGUUUGUUCGGAUCUAUGGUUUGUUGCUGACCGGAUCUCUAAACCUUAUGUGUUUAGGAUUCUUAGUGUACGACUACGAUAUUAGAACUAGCAUGUAAACGUUUCGGAGUGAUAAGGAUGAUUUGAACAUCUAUCAAAAUAGAGAUCUAAAUCCACCUUAUUCGGUGUAUAGAUAAAAAAAAUGGCAAGAACAAGAAGCAGAGUUGGAAACGAAAACGAAAAAAAGAAUCGACCACCUAUGGUUGAGCAAGUAGUUGUGGUAGCAGCAGUACCUGAGCCAAUGAAAAUGGCUGGCGUACAAGAGAUGAUUCAAAUAAUGUUGGAUCGUCAGAUGGAGGAAACUAAACGUCUGCUUCAUCAGAAUCGUGAAGAACUUUCAAUGCCGAUUGAACAGCCCGAAUUGAAUGAAGGGCAGUCGGAAUGAGGAAACUUCAAUGGGAUUUUUGGUCAAGCCAACCCAUCAAUUGUUAGGCAGAACAACCUGUUGGAUUAAUGUCUAAGUCCAUAACUAUAAUUGGUAAGACUUGACCCAACCCGGCAUGGUCCAUUUGGGUUGCAUGGCAUCAUGCACUUGGAUAGACUAUAAUGAGAGAAAUAAGACACUUAUGGUUAUUAAUAUAUUAUAAGUUCUAGUAUAUUAAUAAUACGAAUAAUAAGAUUAUUUAAUUAGUAUUGAUCAAGAAUUAAUCUAGGAUUAAUUAAGUGAUCAAAAGAAGACUAAUUAAAUACAUGGGUUGAUUGUGUAAAUCAUCCAUACUUGUAUAGUGGGCUAAUGCUCCAUGGAUAAUCAAGUUGGGCUAAAACCCAUAGGAUGGUCCAUGGAUGCUC